rnacentral:rRNA from 1 species
GACGAACGCUGGCGGCGUGCUUAACACAUGCAAGUCGAACGGUAAGGCCCUUCGGGGUACACGAGUGGCGAACGGGUGAGUAACACGUGGGUGAUCUGCCCUGCACUUCGGGAUAAGCCUGGGAAACUGGGUCUAAUACCGGAUAGGACCACUGCCUGCAUGGGUGGUGGUGGAAUGCCUUUGCGGUGUGGGAUGGCCCGCGGCCUAUCAGCUUGUUGGUGGGGUGAUGGCCUACCAAGGCGACGACGGGUAGCCGGCCUGAGAGGGUGACCGGCCACACUGGGACUGAGAUACGGCCCAGACUCCUACGGGAGGCAGCAGUGGGGAAUAUUGCACAAUGGGCGCAAGCCUGAUGCAGCGACGCCGCGUGAGGGAUGACGGCCUUCGGGUUGUAAACCUCUUUCAGCACCGACGAAGCGCAAGUGACGGUAGAUGCAGAAGAAGGACCGGCCAACUACGUGCCAGCCGCCGCCGUAACAC